UUAAGUUCUCAUUAGGUAAGAACUCAUUGGUAAUUACUGCACCUUUAUGCUACUAAAAUAAUCCCGUAUUGUAGGUCUUUUUCAAUAAUCUGUAAAACUUAGUGAGGUACUAGUAGGUACAAUAUUCUUCAGACUAUCAGAAUAGUCAGAUCAGUUGUCAGAAGUAUUUUAUUAAAAUAGAAAAAUCAUGGCUAGUAAAUUAUUUAUUAUUUUAUCAAUAUUUUUGAGCCAAAGCCGUGGUAAUCUUAUCACGGUAGACAAAUUAGGUUCAAAAUCAUUGCUGGAAAAAAAACCUGUGAUAACUGAUAUUAAUGAUAAAUGGUUGGUUAAUUUUGUGCGUACUAUUGAUAAUAAGUACGAGAGUUGUCAAGUUAUGCCAAUAGACCGGCAAGUUUUUAUCGGGGAUGGAGAGUGUAUUUAUCACGCUGCGAAAGAAGAUCAUUGGACUAUUACCAUAGACUUCUAUCACAGAUCAUUGAGAUUCGCGGACAUGGCCUCUGUACAAGAUAAAAACAUUUUUUACAACGCGAAUUUUACGAGUGAAUACCAUCCGAAAAAGCGUAAAAUUGCAAUAAUGUUUGCUGAUCAACCGGUACUUGCUGAUAAUAGAAAAAAUUUGAUAAGAGGUAUUGCGCAAAUGGCUUACGAAGAAGUUUUAGGUUAUAAUGAAGCAAACCAAAUGAAGAAACUAGCUUAUAACGUCUCUGAUACGAAUUUUUCAAAGUGCUUUAUGCCCUUAUUUAAUGGCAAACAAGUAGUAGUUCGAUGUUUUAACUUAUUGAAAACACGUUUGGAGAGUGUGUACUCAUUAACGGAGGAAACUUUUCAUCAAUAUCACAACAUCUUGAACUUCAUGUUUUGUCACGUAAAUAGCAGCAAAGAAAAAGUUGUGCUUGUAGGAAUUUUAUCCAAGCCAAAUAAACCAAGUAUCAGUCCGUCUAAUCGACCAGUCCUGGCAGAAUAUGAAAAUCUUGACGAUCUUGGUGAAAUUUACCGAAAAAAAAAGCGCGAUUGGUAUAAUGCCAAUCCUGAUCAUGUUAUUUAUCCACUUUUUUAAUUGGAAAUUGAAAAAAUCAGCUGGCAUAAUUACUGCACCUUUAUGCUACUGAAAUACUCUCGUAUUAUAGGUCUUUUUCAAUAGUCUGUAAAACUUAGUGAGAUACUAGUAGGUACAGUAUUCUUCAGACCAUCAGACUAGUCAGAUCAGUUGUCAGAAGUAUUUUAUUAAAAUAGAGAAAUCAUGACUAGUAAAUUAUUUAUUAUUUUAUCAAUAUUUUUGAGCCAAAGCCGUGGCAAUCUUAUCACGGUAGACAAAUUAGGUUCAAAAUCAUUGCUGGAAAAAAAACCUGUGAUAACUGAUAUUAAUGAUAAAUGGUUGGUUAAUUUUGUGCGUACUAUUGAUAAUAAGUACGAGAGUUGUCAAGUUAUGCCAAUAGGCCGGCGAGUUUUUAUCGGGGAUGGAGAGUGUAUUUAUCACGCUGCGAAAGAAGAUCAUUGGACUAUUACCAUAGACUUCUAUCACAGAUCAUUGAGAUUCGCGGACAUGGCCUCUGUACAAGAUAAAAACAUUUUUUACAACGCGAAUUUUACGAGUGAAUACCAUCCGAAAAAGCGUAAAAUUGCAAUAAUGUUUGCUGAUCAACCGGUCCUUGCUGAUAAGAGAAAAAAUUUGAUAAGAGGUAUUGCGCAAAUGGCUUACGAAGAAGUUUUAGGUUAUAAUGAAGCAAACCAAAUGAAGAAACUAGCUUAUAACAUCUCUGAUACGAAUUUUUCAAGGUGCUUUAUGCCUUUAUUUAAUGGCAAACGAGUAGAAACUAAAUGUUUUCACUUAUUGAAGACAAGUUCGAAGU